rnacentral:rRNA from 1 species
GUGGGGAAUUUUGGACAAUGGGCGCAAGCCUGAUCCAGCAAUGCCGCGUGCAGGAAGAAGGCCUUCGGGUUGUAAACUGCUUUUGUACGGAACGAAACGGUCCUGGCUAAUACCCGGGGCUAAUGACGGUACCGUAAGAAUAAGCACCGGCUAACUACGUGCCAGCAGCCGCGGUAAUACGUAGGGUGCGAGCGUUAAUCGGAAUUACUGGGCGUAAAGCGUGCGCAGGCGGUGCUGUAAGACAGGCGUGAAAUCCCCGGGCUCAACCUGGGAAUUGCGCUGGUGACUGCAGUGCUGGAGUGCGGCAGAGGGGGAUGGAAUUCCGCGUGUAGCAGUGAAAUGCGUAGAUAUGCGGAGGAACACCGAUGGCGAAGGCAAUCCCCUGGGCCUGCACUGACGCUCAUGCACGAAAGCGUGGGGAGCAAACAGGAUUAGAAACCCGGGUAGUCC